rnacentral:rRNA from 1 species
UACGGGAGGCAGCAGUGGGGAAUAUUGCACAAUGGGCGCAAGCCUGAUGCAGCCAUGCCGCGUGUAUGAAGAAGGCCUUCGGGUUGUAAAGUACUUUCAGUCGUGAGGAAGGUGUUAAGGUUAAUAACCUUAGCAAUUGACGUUAGCGACAGAAGAAGCACCAGCUAACUCCGUGCCAGCAGCCGCGGUAAUACGGAGGGUGCGAGCGUUAAUCGGAAUUACUGGGCGUAAAGGGCACGCAGGCGGUUAAUUAAGUUGGAUGUGAAAUCCCCGGGCUUAACCUGGGAAUGGCAUUCAAGACUGGUUAGCUAGAGUCUUGUAGAGGGGGUAGAAUUCCAUGUGUAGCGGUGAAAUGCGUAGAGAUGUGGAGGAAUACCGGUGGCGAAGGCGGCCCCUGGGACAAAGACUGACGCUCAUGUGCGAAAGCGUGGGGAGCAAACAGGGAUUAGAUACC